GACUCCAGAGGAGGAACACAAGAAGGUUAGCAGCUUUUCACUUUCGGCACAGCACGAGCCGAGAGAGAAAUGCUUCCUGUGGGCGAAGAAGCCAUAAUUUGAACUGUGCAAUUAUCCCAUUACUUUCCCCGGUUGGAGGAGAGAGAGAGAAAGCAGAGAAAGAAGAAACACGGUGCCGCUGCUGCCGAGGGAUGUUAUUAAUACUUAUUAUUACUUUCUCCCUGUUUCAUUAAAUUCAAUCUCGUCCAGCUCACUCAUCGUCCACCCUGAGCUACCGGCUACGAAUGUAGACACCAAAAGUCGUGGUGGAUGAUGAUACGAUACAGAUGAGGGAUCCAUUUCCUUGUUAAUUACAGAAAAAUCUGUUUGUGUAAUAUGCAGAUUUUGCAUCAUGUAACAGUUGCAUCCGUAACAAGGGGUUUCUCACAACUGGAUCCUAUUUCAACAAUUUCGUCCCUUUUUUCUUUGAACUUGUCACCGACCAUGUGAUGCCGGCCGACUACGUAACACUGCUCACGAACGACACUCCUGUAGUCUUACGUAUAUACAAUUAGAUUUGGAUUCUGAAACGAAACUCUCCCCUUGAUCCUGUAUUGAUCAUUAUUUGUGCAACAGCAGUAUGACGUUCGUUCGUUCUUAUUAGUCUUGACUGUGUUCUUGCCUCAGAGACCAAUUUGU